GCCGCCGUAGCUCAGUCGGUAGAGCGGCUGGCUGUUAAGGCCGGCAGAGACCAGUAGGUCGCCCGUUCGAGUCGGGCCGGCGGCG
rnacentral:tRNA from 1 species